rnacentral:misc_RNA from 1 species
GAUGAAGAACGCAGCGAAAUGCGAUAAGUAAUGUGAAUUGCAGAAUUCAGUGAAUCAUCGAAUCUUUGAACGCACAUUGCGCCCCUUGGUAUUCCGAGGGGCAUGCCUGUUCGAGCGUCAUUAUAACCCCUCAAGCUCAGCUUGGUGUUGGGGCCUGCUGCACUGGCAGCCCUUAAAAUCAGUGGCGGCGCCAUCUGGCUCUAAGCGUAGUAAUUCUUCUCGCUAUGGAGUCCUGGUGGAUGCCUGCCAUCAACCCCCAAUUUUUCUAUGGUUGACCUCGGAUCAGGUAGGGAUACCCGCUGAACUUAAGCAUAUCAAUAAGCGGAGGA